UUUGCUUUUUAACUUAUAUUAUAUCAAAUGGUAAUACUGUAAAUAUUAUUUACCGCACACUUACCAAAUAACUUUGGGUAUAACCUGGUUUAAACUGAUAACAUUUUUAAAUUCUUAAAAAUUUUCAUUGAGUUAUUGUGCUCUCAAGUCGAUUUGUUAUUCAGGCAAUGUUUAAAAAAAUAAAAUAUUCCAUUAGAGAACUUAUUACAAGUAAAAAAUAUACCGAAGAGGUUGUGAAAGAAAAGAUAUAAAGUUUAAGAUACCUCAGGACAAUAGGACUUGUACCAAUGCACAGGAUACUUCAUUAGAAUAUUAUUUAUGAACGGAGGGUUAUGGAACAUUCAACGAGGCAUAUUGUUAUUAUUGUCGCAUAUUAUUUUAUACUUAUUUGAGAGUUGAAUUAUAUAUGUAUAGAUAUAUUCGAGGACGCUCGAAUAUAGCACUUUAGUAACAUAAUAAGUAUCACUAUUGAAGUUACUAGAUUAAGUAUAAUUUUAAUUUUUCACUUUUAGAAAUUGUCGUGUUCUGUGAUACAGGUAGAUUUGUAAAUAAUUGUCAUUGCCAACUGUCAAAAAGAGCGUAGCAAUUAAACAGCAUUAUAGUUGACUUUUUAUAUAAUGAUGAGUCUUUUGUCUCGUUUAUGUGGAAGAAAUAGCUUUCAAAAUGUAUAGAUCUAAAGAAUGGAACAAAGCAUUUACUAUAUAUACAAAUUCAAAGAAACUGAUUUUAUGAAUAUUUUACAUCAUAAUUUAGCAGUUGUGACUUAUUACAUGUACUAUCUUUACAAGUAAGAGAACAAACUAAAGAAAAUUUGCAUACAAGGUGAUACUGCAGAUACCAUUUAGGAUGAAGGUUUACAUGAUUUUCAUGGAAUACAAAUGGAGGAUAGUCCUAUAAUAAUAACGUAUCUCAUUUUGUGCACUUACAUUAUCUAUUUUCGUUGUUACAAACCCUCGAAGGAAUUUAAAGUAGAAUAGAAUCACAAUGUCAGCCGUUGUCAACUACAUCUAUUGAUACACCUGAUAUUUGUAUUAAACAUGAAGAAUUUUCAACCGACAACAAUGUUUAAUAUCCCUAAACAUUUAUGUAUACAUACCAUUUAUCAUAUAAUUGAAUGCUUUUAGAUGUAUUAUUAUUAAUUAUUUACAUUAAAUGUUGACCUUUGAAGAGUCAUAUGUAUAAUACUUCAGUAGCUACAAUUGUGAAAUUGAAAAAGAGAUCAU